rnacentral:rRNA from 1 species
ACGAACGCUGGCGGCGCGCCUCACACAUGCAAGUCGAACGGAGCUGAGAGGAGCUUGCUUUUCUUAGCUUAGUGGCGAACGGGUGAGUAACGCGUGAGUAACCUGCCCUGGAGUGGGGGACAACAGUUGGAAACGACUGCUAAUACCGCAUAAGCCCACGGUGCUGCAUGGUACUGCGGGAAAAGGAUUUAUUCGCUCUAGGAUGGACUCGCGUCCAAUUAGCUAGUUGGUGAGGUAACGGCCCACCAAGGCGACGAUUGGUAGCCGGACUGAGAGGUUGAACGGCCACAUUGGGACUGAGACACGGCCCAGACUCCUACGGGAGGCAGCAGUGGGGGAUAUUGCACAAUGGGGGAAACCCUGAUGCAGCGACGCCGCGUGGAGGAAGAAGGUUUUCGGAUUGUAAACUCCUGUCGUUAGGGACGAUAAUGACGGUACCUAACAAGAAAGCACCGGCUAACUACGUGCCAGCAGCCGCGGUAAAACGUAGGGUGCAAGCGUUGUCCGGAAUUACUGGGUGUAAAGGGAGCGCAGGCGGACCGGCAAGUUGGAAGUGAAAUCCAUGGGCUCAACCCGUGAAUUGCUUUCAAAACUGCUGGCCUUGAGUAGUGCAGAGGUAGGUGGAAUUCCCGGUGUAGCGGUGGAAUGCGUAGAUAUCGGGAGGAACACCAGUGGCGAAGGCGACCUACUGGGCACCAACUGACGCUGAGGCUCGAAAGCAUGGGUAGCAAACAGGAUUAGAUACCCUGGUAGUCCAUGCCGUAAACGAUGAUUACUAGGUGUUGGAGGAUUAACCCCUUCAGUGGCGCAGUUAACACAAUAAGUAAUCCACCUGGGGAGUACGACCGCAAGGUUGCAACUCAAAUGAAUUGACGGA